AUGAACGCUGGCGGCGUGCCUAAUCCAUGCCAGUCGAGCGAACGGACGAGAAGCUUGCUUCUCUGAUGUUAGCGGCGGACGGGAGAGUAACACGUGGAUAACCUACCUAUAAUACUGGGAUAACUUCGGGAAACCGGCGCUAAUACCGGAUAAUAUUUUGCACCGCAUGGUUCAAAAGUGAAAGACGGUCUUGCUGUCAUUUAUAGAUGGAUCCGCGCUGCAUUAGCUAGUUGGUAAGGUAACGGCUUACCAAGGCAACGAUGCGUAGCCGACCUGAGAGGGUGAUCGGCCACACUGGAACUGAGACACGGUCCAGACUCCUACGGGAGGCAGCAGUGGGGAAUCUUCCACAAUGGGCGAAAGCCUGACGGAGCAACACCGCGUGAGUGAAGAAGGUCUUCGGGUCGUAAAGCUCUGUUGUUGGGAAAGAACAUAUGUGGGAGUAACUGUGGACAUCUUGACGGUACCUAAUCAAAAAGCCACGGCUAACUUCGUG
rnacentral:rRNA from 1 species